rnacentral:rRNA from 1 species
GACGAACGCUGGCGGCGUGCUUAACACAUGCAAGUCGAACGGAAAGGCCCUGCUUUUGUGGGGUGCUCGAGUGGCGAACGGGUGAGUAACACGUGAGUAACCUGCCCUUGACUUUGGGAUAACUUCAGGAAACUGGGGCUAAUACCGGAUAGGAGCUCCUGCUGCAUGGUGGGGGUUGGAAAGUUUCGGCGGUUGGGGAUGGACUCGCGGCUUAUCAGCUUGUUGGUGGGGUAGUGGCUUACCAAGGCUUUGACGGGUAGCCGGCCUGAGAGGGUGACCGGGCACAUUGGGACUGAGAUACGGACCAGACUCCUACGGGAGGCAGCAGGGGGGAAUAUUGCACAAUGGGCGGAAGCCUGAUGCAGCAACGCCGCGUGCGGGAUGACGGCCUUCGGGUUGUAAACCGCUUUCGCCUGUGACGAAGCGUGAGUGACGGUAAUGGGUAAAGAAGCACCGGCUAACUACGUG